rnacentral:rRNA from 1 species
AGAGUUUGAUCAUGGCUCAGGAUGAACGCUAGCUACAGGCUUAACACAUGCAAGUCGAGGGGCAGCAUGUUGGUUGCUUGCAACCAACGAUGGCGACCGGCGCACGGGUGAGUAACGCGUAUCCAACCCACCCUUGUCCAUCGGAUAACCCGUCGAAAGGCGGCCUAACACGAUAUGCGGUUCACAGCAGGCAUCUAACGUGAACGAAAUGUGAAGGAGAAGGAUGGGGAUGCGUCUGAUUAGCUUGUUGGCGGGGUAACGGCCACCAAGGCUACGAUCAGUAGGGUUCUGAGAGGAAGGUCCCCCANAUUGGAACUGAGACACGGUCCAAAUCCUACGGGAGGCA